rnacentral:lncRNA from 1 species
AGCAGCGGGGGCCUUUGGCUGUUUUGGUCUUUGUACCACCCCCUCCUACUCGCGUGACGGGCAGCCAGUUCCUGCUGGACUACACAGUGUUCCUUGCAGUCAAGACACAAAGGAUAGGUCCCACCGCUCCAGCAGCAGCACAAGAGAAUCAGUUCCUGUUUCAGCUCCUCUCUAAAAUUUACAAGUUUGGACCCACAGGAGGCCUCCUGAAAACAGGACUAUCCUGGAGAACCAGCUGGUCUUCACAUGGCUGCUCAAUGUCUGCGUCUUUGUUUUCAGUCUUGGCUCUGCUUAAAAAGAAACGUUGCACUUAUUUUGUACCAGAUGCCAAGAAUUUGAGAUAUUUAUCCAGGCCAGAAGAAACAAAGUGAAGCAUUAAAGAAACCUUGUUGUCUUUUUCGUCCAUACCUGAGAACCUGAGAUUCGUCCACCAUUCGAGUUGAACAACAAAAUGAAAACAAAUUACUCUGGACUUUUCAUUCAAUUGGAUGGAACAUGAAACUUUAUGAAAGCCAGUUGUUUUCUAUUUAUAGAUGAUCUUAUCGCAGACAUAUCUACAGGCAAUAAACAUUAUAUAUGUUGUUACACAGGGC